rnacentral:rRNA from 1 species
GAUGAACGCUGGCGGCGUGCCUAAUACAUGCAAGUCGAGCGAACGGACGAGAAGCUUGCUUCUCUGAUGUUAGCGGCGGACGGGUGAGUAACACGUGGAUAACCUACCUAUAAGAUUGGGAUAACUUCGGGAAACCGGAGCUAAUACCGGAUAAUAUUUUGAACCGCAUGGUUCAAAAGUAAAAGACGGUCUUGCUGUCACUUAUAGAUGGAUCCGCGCUGCAUUAGCUAGUUGGUAAGGUAACGGCUUACCAAGGCAACGAUGCAUAGCCGACCUGAGAGGGUGAUCGGCCACACUGGAACUGAGACACGGUCCAGACUCCUACGGGAGGCAGCAGUAGGGAAUCUUCCGCAAUGGGCGAAAGCCUGACGGAGCAACGCCGCGUGAGUGAUGAAGGUCUUCGGAUCGUAAAACUCUGUUAUUAGGGAAGAACAUAUGUGUAAGUAACUGUGCACAUCUUGACGGUACCUAAUCAGAAAGCCACGGCUAACUACGUGCCAGCAGCCGCGGUAAUACGUAGGUGGCAAGCGUUAUCCGGAAUUAUUGGGCGUAAAGCGCGCGUAGGCGGUUUUUUAAGUCUGAUGUGAAAGCCCACGGCUCAACCGUGGAGGGUCAUUGGAAACUGGAAAACUUGAGUGCAGAAGAGGAAAGUGGAAUUCCAUGUGUAGCGGUGAAAUGCGCAGAGAUAUGGAGGAACACCAGUGGCGAAGGCGACUUUCUGGUCUGUAACUGACGCUGAUGUGCGAAAGCGUGGGGAUCAAACAGG